AACGAACGCUGGCGGCAGGCCUAACACAUGCAAGUCGAACGUGAAGCUAGGCUUCGGCCUAGUGGAAAGUGGCAGACCGGGUGAGGAACACGUGGGAAUCUGCCCAGUGGUACGGAAUAACUUCGGGAAACCGGAGCUAAUGCCGUAUACGCCCUUCCGGGGGAAAGAUUUAUCGCCAUUGGAUGAGCCCGCGUCGGAUUAGCUUGUUGGUAGGGUAACGGCCUACCAAGGCGACGAUCCGUAGCUGGUCUGAGGAGGGUGAUCGGCCACACUGGGACUGAGACACGGCCCAGACUCCGUACGGGAGGCAGCAGUAGGGAAUCUUCCGCAAUGGAACGAAAGUCUGACGGAGCAACGCCGCGUGGGGGAAGAAGGCCUUCGGGUCGUAAACCCCUUUUCUUGGGGAAGAAGGAAGUGACGGUACCCGAGGAAUAAGUCUCGGCCGACUACGUG
rnacentral:rRNA from 1 species